GACGAACGCUGGCGGCGUGCUUAACACAUGCAAGUCGAACGGAAAGGCCCUGCUUUUGUGGGGUGCUCGAGUGGCGAACGGGUGAGUAACACGUGAGUAACCUGCCCUUGACUUUGGGAUAACUUCAGGAAACUGGGGCUAAUACCGGAUAGGAGCUCCUGCUGCAUGGUGGGGGUUGGAAAGUUUCGGCGGUUGGGGAUGGACUCGCGGCUUAUCAGCUUGUUGGUGGGGUAGUGGCUUACCAAGGCUUUGAAGGGUGGCCGGCCUGAGAGCGUGACCGGCCACAUUGGGACUGAGAUACGGCCCAGACUCCUACGGGAGGCAGCAGUGGGGAAUAUUGCACAAUGGGCGGAAGCCUGAUGCAGCAACGCCGCGUGCGGGAUGACGGCCUUCGGGUUGUAAACCGCUUUCGCCUGUGACGAAGCGUGAGUGACGGUAAUGGGUAAAGAAGCACCGGCUAACUACGUG
rnacentral:rRNA from 1 species